CGCGUAGGCGGCCUGCUAAGUCUGGAGUGAAAGUCCUGCUUUCAAGGUGGGAAGUGCUUUGGAUACUGGUGGGCUGGAGUGCAGGAGAGGAAAGCGGAAUUACCGGUGUAGCGGUGAAAUGCGUAGAGAUCGGUAGGAACACCAGUGGCGAAGGCGGCUUUCUGGACUGAAACUGACGCUGAGGCGCGAAAGUGUGGGGAGCAAACA
rnacentral:rRNA from 1 species